rnacentral:rRNA from 1 species
AUUGAACGCUGGCGGCAGGCCUAACACAUGCAAGUCGAGCGGGGUUUUCGGACCUAGCGGCGGACGGGUGAGUAAUGCGCAGGAAGCUACCCGAUAGAGGGGGAUACCAGUUGGAAACGACUGUUAAUACCGCAUAAUGUCUACGGACCAAAGUGUGGGACCUUCGGGCCACAUGCUAUCGGAUGCGCCUACGUGGGAUUAGCUAGUUGGUGAGGUAAUGGCUCACCAAGGCGACGAUCCCUAGCUGGUUUGAGAGGAUGAUCAGCCACACUGGAACUGAGACACGGUCCAGACUCCUACGGGAGGCAGCAGUGGGGAAUAUUGGACAAUGGGCGCAAGCCUGAUCCAGCCAUGCCGCGUGUGUGAAGAAGGCCUUCGGGUUGUAAAGCACUUUCAGUAGGGAGGAAGCGUUGUGUGUUAAUAGUACACAGCGUUGACGUUACCUACAGAAGAAGCACCAGCUAACUCUGUGCCAGCCGCCGCGGUAACAC